UACGUAGGGUCCGAGCGUUGUCCGGAAUUACUGGGCGUAAAGGGCGCGUAGGCGGCCUUCUAAGUCAGACGUGAAAUCCCCCGGCUUAACCUGGGAACUGCGUCUGAUACUGGGAGGCUUGAGUAUGGGAGAGGGAUGUAGAAUUCCAGGUGUAGCGGUGAAAUGCGUAGAUAUCUGGAGGAAUACCGAUGGCGAAGGCAGCCUCCUGGGCCAACACUGACGCUCAUGCACGAAAGCGUGGGGAGCAAACAGG
rnacentral:rRNA from 1 species